GAUGAAGAACGCAGCGAAAUGCGAUAAGUAGUGUGAAUUGCAGAAUUCAGUGAAUCAUCGAAUCUUUGAACGCACAUUGCGCCCCUUGGUAUCCCGAGGGGCAUGCCUGUUCGAGCGUCAUUUCACCACUCAAGCCUGGCUUGGUGUUGGGCGACGUCCCCUUUAGGGACGCGCCUCGAAACGCUCGGCGGCGUGGCACCGGCUUUAAGCGUAGCAGAAUCUUUCGCUUUGGAAGUCGGGGCCCCGCCUGCCGGAAUACCUACUCGUAAGGUUGACCUCGGAUCAGGCAGGGAUACCCGCUGAACUUAAGCAUAUCAAUAAGCGGAGG
rnacentral:misc_RNA from 1 species